rnacentral:lncRNA from 1 species
GUUGCUUAAAAACUUGGGCUUGAUGGAAAUAGUGUUUUUUCCUAUUUUUUUCUAUUGAAUUUUGGUGACCUUUGUUGUUGAAAACGGUCUUCUCGUUUUUAUGAUGCUCUCAAAAGUUUUUUAUUUUUCCUUUUUUGUUCGAUAUAGCUAAUAGCAAUACACGAUCAACUAUUGUUCAAAGAGAAAAAAAUAUAUUAUGUGAUGC